CUACAAACAACUCAUCCAACCUGUAAUAUGUAUAACGUGUUAUAACAGAGUGAAACUUCCACACGGAAUGAAACUGAAGUCGAACGGAUUUAAGUCACGUGAUCUUAUUAUAGGAAGGGGAGGCUCCCGUGUUUCUUAUGAUUACUCUGUUAUUGGUUGUCACUAAACGCUAUUGGUCCAAUGUGAAAAGAGGCAUACAACGAUUGCUCUUUUUGUGCUCGUAAGCGUGACGUUGGUGAAAGGCGACGCUAUAGAUAAAGCUUGGAAAAAGUUGUGUAAGAUUAAUAAAGAGAUGCCUGGAAAAAUGAAUGAGAUAAAAGAAUGCGACCGAACAUUUUUGAGUGGAAAGUCAGAAUUGCUUCCAGGUGCAGUUCGAGAGUGUGAAAAGGCAAAAUAUUCUACUAGCAAAUUCGACGAGUUCUUGAAUGCAAUGUGUAGUAAAGAAAGAGAAGCGGAUUUACAGGAAGUCAAAGAAUGUAUCAGAGAGAAAUUUGCAGAAGCUCAAGUGGAUCCAGAGAUUGCAGUCACUGGAAUGAUGAAGAACUGUUUCUGAAGAUCUUCAACGGAUCACUCAACAGCUGAUGAAGACCAGUCUACAUAUUACCUAUAAUAUAAUAAUCUGAAUUUGUCGUGGUUUCCUUCUUUUCGGGAUAUGUCUAACUCUGAAAUAACUAUAUCUAGAAAAUAAAACUUUUAGAAAGCAACAAAA